rnacentral:rRNA from 1 species
UCGCGGCCUAUCAGCUUGUUGGUGGGGUAAUGGCCCACCAAGGCUUCGACGGGUAGCCGGCCUGAGAGGGUGACCGGCCACACUGGGACUGAGACACGGCCCAGACUCCUACGGGAGGCAGCAGUGGGGAAUAUUGGACAAUGGCGAAAGCCUGACGCAGCAACGCCGCGUGGGGGAUGAAGGCUCUCGGGUUGUAAACCCCUUUCAGCAGGGACGAAAUUGACAGUACCUGCAGAAGAAGCCCCGGCCAACUACGUGCCAGCAGCCGCGGUAACACGUAGGGGGCAAGCGUUGUCCGGAUUUAUUGGGCGUAAAGAGCUCGUAGGCGGCUCGGUAAGUCGGGUGUGAAAACUCAGGGCUCAACCCUGAGACGCCACCCGAUACUGCUGUGGCUAGAGUCCGGUAGGGGAGCGUGGAAUUCCUGGUGUAGCGGUGAAAUGCGCAGAUAUCAGGAGGAACACCAGCGGCGAAGGCGGCGCUCUGGGCCGGUACUGACGCUGAGGAGCGAAAGCGUGGGGAAUCG